UUGCUAUCUGGAAUUCGACGAACAAUUUGCUAAAGAGGAAUUUCAAACGAUUGUCAAUGUUGAGGAAGAAGAUGACGGUUCCAUGGAAUCAAAACAAGACAAAAUGGAAGCUCUGAUCAUUUGCUCUCUUCAUAUUUGAGAACAUGCUUCUCAAGUUGCGAGUCUUCCGCCAUCCUGCGUGAUCGUUUAAAUUCUUGUGAAAUGCCCACUUUUUACGACACUAAAACCGAAAAGCUGAUUACAAGAGUCCCACUUCUUUCUCUGGUGAAGUUAAGUCGCAUUUAGCUGACUGGUCUAAGGAUGGGUCCUUCCCAGAAAAACGAAAAGGACAACACGGUAAACGAUGGUUCGCUGUUAGCUAACCCUAUGCCCUUUAGCUGCUACCCUUUGGAAACCUUCAGCGCAGUGAUACUGGAAUAGUGGAAUACCAACUGCAGCAUCACCUUCAACCGCACGGCAUUCAGUCGGCAAUACUCCUUCCGUCGCCCUUGAGCAUAGGAGAGAAGGGCGUGUUACCAAUUAUCAUUCGACUUCCCAACCGACGGCCGGGUGGUCAACCCCCCACUGCUUACUACUACCCCUGCUCUCAAACACAACACGGAAUUUGGAUCUUCAGAUUGUUUGACUGUUUGUCCAUUUGUGAUGACGCCAUAGCGGUUUCUUUGGGCAGACGAGGUGAUGAUGAUUUUCGUCAGGAGAAUAUUGCUCGGAUGUCGUCGAAAGCAAUCCAGCCGUUUCUUGAAAUCCUUGGGAAUUCCACUAACGUUCUGCUCCAUCCGUAUCUUCGCGACGUACGCUCAGCAAGCUUCACUGCUUCACUGAGCACUUCUCAUGCUGCACAACUUUUCUUGCUUCACUGACGAGUUGGAUCACUUCAGUAUUCGCUUCCGUCCGCUGUGACACACCUGCAGUCACUCGCCACGGGAUU